AUUUCCCCGGAAUGGAGCAGCGAGCCAGUAACGGCGGUGAAAACCGUUCACUUCUGAACACCACAAUAUUGCAUUGACACCCGGAUUUGCGACACAUUUUAACCUACCAGUUUUUACGUUGGAUUCCCGAGGAAAACGUUCUGGAUUUGUGACAGGUUGUUUCCUGCCAGACCUUAGUGGGCGGUGAGCGUGGCUGGCUAGCUAUACUACACCGAAGAUGGAGCAGCUGUCAGACGAGGAGCUGGACCAUACAGAGGGAGGAGGAGAGGAGGAGGACAGUGAUAAAGAAGAUCAGGAUCUAGACCAGAUGUUUGGAGCCUGGCUGGGAGAGCUGGAUAAACUC